rnacentral:rRNA from 1 species
GAACGCUGGCGGCAUGCCUUACACAUGCAAGUCGAACGGCAGCACGGGAACAAUCCUGGUGGCGAGUGGCGAACGGGUGAGUAAUACGUCGGAACGUGCCCAAUCGUGGGGGGUAACGCAGCGAAAGCUGUGCUAAUACCGCAUAAGAUCUACGGAUGAAAGCAGGGGAUCGCAAGACCUUGCGCGAAUGGAGCGGCCGAUGGCAGAUUAGGUAGUUGGUGAGGUAAAGGCUCACCAAGCCUUCGAUCUGUAGCUGGUCUGAGAGGACGACCAGCCACACUGGGACUGAGACACGGCCCAGACUCCUACGGGAGGCAGCAGUGGGGAAUUUUGGACAAUGGGCGAAAGCCUGAUCCAGCCAUGCCGCGUGCAGGAUGAAGGCCUUCGGGUUGUAAACUGCUUUUGUACGGAACGAAAAGUCUCUUUCUAAUAAAGAGGGAUCAUGACGGUACCGUAAGAAUAAGCACCGGCUAA